CCAAAAAAAGGAAUUGGCUUUCUUUACCUGUUCGUGGUGUUCGGUUUAGGGAAGAUCAGUGUUGCUCCUCCUUAUGUUCUCCAUAAGAAGUUAUCCUGUUUGGAUUUUUGUGGAGAUUAAAUGUUGUUUGAACCAAUCUUUAUGCAUCAAAUAAAUUUUAUGGAUUACCGCAGAAAUCAAUGUUGUUUGAACAAAUCUUUAUGCAUCAAAUCAAUUUUAUAAGGGGAGCAAGGAAGUGAUGGCUGCAAGAAUGUUUUUGCAUUUCUCGCUUUGGUUUGAAAUUUAAGUUCAUCUAUAGAAGAUUUGGAAGGAAGUUCAUGAAAAUAACAAUGGUGUUUCUAACUUCUAAGCCACAGAGUAUAAGUGGGAAGACAUAUUUAAGCUAGGCAUUCAUAAUGUCCUAUGUGGAGAAGAAGGUACACGCAUUUUUUAUCGUGCAGACACUGGAACCAAUAAAACGGAUUGGGUCUGCUGGAUCUUUAACUUUUCAUCGUGCAAGUACAGGGUCCAAUAUGGAUUUCUCUACUGGAACUUAUUUCACCACCAUCUUAGAAAUAUGUACGUACAAUGGCCACCGGCGGUCCUAGGAACUUCAGAUGGAAGUGAAUAACUUGGAGGAAUAGGAAAUGGGAACUAAAACUUUGGAGAUAACUCAACUAAGCUACAUCGUUGCUUAGUGAAGAAUUGACUUCUACUACAGUGAGGGUGGUAUUAAUAAUUGCCAUUAAAUUGUAUUUUAGCGCCAUGCACGU